rnacentral:rRNA from 1 species
UACGUAGGGAGCAAGCGUUGUCCGGAAUCAUUGGGCGUAAAGCGCACGUAGGCGGAUUUGUAAGUCAGGGGUGAAAUCCCGGGGCUCAACCUCGGAACUGCCUUUGAUACUGCAAAUCUCGAGUCCGAUAGAGGUGGGUGGAAUUCCUAGUGUAGAGGUGAAAUUCGUAGAUAUUAGGAAGAACACCGGUGGCGAAGGCGGCCCACUGGAUCGGUACUGACGCUGAGGUGCGAAAGCGUGGGGAGCAAACAGG